rnacentral:lncRNA from 1 species
GCCUGGUGAGGAGUGGACUUCUCCUUGCUUAAAUCCUGGCCGUUGGUCACGACUGAGUUUGAUGAUCUGGGGCUGCAUUACCUAUGAAGGUGUUGGCACUAUUACUGUUGUAACUGGUAAUAUAAAUGCUUUAAAGUAUAUUGAGAUAGUUGACAAUUUUGUUUGGCCUGUUAUUGCUCGUCAUUCCCCCGCUGACAAUUACAUAUACCAAGAUGACAAUGCCCCGGUACAUAGGGCCAAAAUUGUGAAGGAUUACAUGGAAAAAAAUCAACUUCAUGGUAUGGAAUGGCCAGCACAAAGUCCAGACCUAAUACUAUUGAAAAUAUGUGGCGUAAAAUUAAAAUUGAACUGCAAAAACAGGCACAUAACAUCACUACAAAGGCUCAAAUGGAGACAGCAAUUCGGGACAUAUGGACAAAUAUAUCCUUAGAAUUCAUAAGAAAACUUUAUGAUUCAAUUCCAAGACGUUUGAGGCUAGUAAUAAGGGCAAAAGGAAACAUCACAAAGUAUUAGGU